UGGAGGAAGACGAGGACACAGCAGAGUCUCCAGGACACAGCUGUCUCUCUGUGAAGUCUAACCAGUCCAAACUGUUACCUCCGGACUUCAGUAAUGAACCUGGCGCCUCAGACACAAAACGUCAGAACCAGAGACGGAGACCAGAGUCUCCGGGACCCAGCGGUCUGUCUCUGAAGAGUGACUGGUCCAAAGAUCAACCCCCAACCUUCAGUCAUGAACCUGGAGCCUCAAACACAAAAAACCAGUUUGCUGUUUCUGUG